UACGUAGGGUGCGAGCGUUAAUCGGAAUUACUGGGCGUAAAGCGUGCGCAGGCGGUUCGUCGUGUCCGAUGUGAAAGCCCCCGGCUCAACUGGGGAGGGUCAUUCGAUACUGAUCGACUCGAAGGCAGGAGAGGGUAGUGGAAUUCCUGGUGUAGCGGUGGAAUGCGCAGAUAUCAGGAGGAACACCGGUGGCGAAGGCGGGUCUCUGGGCAGUAACUGACGCUGAGGAGCGAAAGCGUGGGGAGCGAACAGG
rnacentral:rRNA from 1 species